rnacentral:rRNA from 1 species
GACGAACGCUGGCGGCGUGGAUUAGGCAUGCAAGUCGGACGGUAGGGCUUUAUCGUAAGAUAGAGUUUGAGAGUGGCGAACGGGUGAGUAACACGUAGGAAUCUACCCUUAAGACGGGGACAACCCAGGGAAACUUGGGCUAAUACCGGAUGAGAGUGCGAGAGAUUGCAUUUAAAAGGAUGGCGAAAGUUGUCGCUUAGGGAUGAGCCUGCGGUCUAUUAGUUAGUUGGUGAGGUAAGAGCUCACCAAGGCGAUGAUAGAUAGGCGGCCUUAACGGGUGGUCGCCCACACUGGGAUUGAGAUACGGCCCAGACUCCUACGGGAGGCAGCAGUCGAGAAUAGUCUACAAUGGCCGGAAGGCUGAUAGUGCGACGCCGCGUGAACGAGGGAGCCCUUCGGGGUGUAAAGUUCUUUUAUAUGUGAGCAGUGCUUCUUAUAUUAACAGUAUGGGGAGAGAGAUAUUAGCAUAUGAAUAAGCAACGGCUAACUCCGUGCCAGCAGCCGG